rnacentral:piRNA from 1 species
UCCAUUCUGCAUCUUGCCGCCCCCUUGGGUC